rnacentral:tRNA from 1 species
AAGGCUUUAAGUUAUUCAAACUAUUAGCCUUCAAAGCUAAAAAUAAAUAUUUAAUUUAAGCCUUA